CCAGUGUGCAAGCAUAGGGGCCCUACA
rnacentral:piRNA from 1 species